UGUGGAAUUUUGCACAAUGGGCGCAAGCCUGAUGCAGCGACGCCGCGUGAGGGAUGAAGGCCUUCGGGUUGUAAACCUUUUUCGCUCAUGGUCAAGCCGCAGCUUUGGGUUGUGGUGAGGGUAGUGGGUAAAGAAGCGCCGGCUAACUACGUGCCAGCAGCCGCGGUAAUACGUAAGUGGCGAGCGUUAUCCGGAUUUACUGGGUGUAAAGGGCGUGCAGGCGGGCUGAUAAGUCAGAUGUGAAAUCCCCGAGCUUAACUCGGGAACUGCAUAUGAUACUGUUGGUCUUGAGUGCUGGAGAGGAUAGUGGAAUUCCUAGUGUAGCGGUAAAAUGCGCAGAUAUUAGGAGGGACACCAGUGGCGAAGGCGGCUAUCUGGACAGUAACUGACGCUGAGGCGCGAAAGCGUGGGUAGCAAACAGG
rnacentral:rRNA from 1 species